CGAGUAUAGGCUCAAAAAUGGAUCCAUAAAAGACCCGAUCCAAACAACAAGGAAUCUAAAAAGUUUCCUGAUUGUCUAAUAUAGGUAGGGUUUGAGAAAAGAGUAGCAAGUGCUCUUUCUUUUCUCUUCAACCUGUCCGCAACAAUGUUGCCUGUGGAAUUCCAAGCUCCAUUUUCUCCUUAUCUGUGUACUGUACUAGCUACCAUGGUGGUCUUGGGUAUCUCACAUGACCAGACUACAUCCAGUUCACCCAGAUCCUGAUCUCUCAUUAUAUGGUGGUUGAUAGAUAGGGGUUCCAUUCAAGCUGUAGGUUGCACAGUUGUACUGUCUUCUUCCAGGCAUACUGUUAAACUCUUUUUACUAUGCUUUUUUAAUGUUUCUAGUUAUUGCUUGUUGGACUAUGCUUGAACUUGUUGUUUCCUUGUAAAUAUACAUGAUGAAUUUGUUGGUUA